rnacentral:lncRNA from 1 species
UAGAACUUUGACAUUGUAACUAAAGCAUAUAAAUAAAAAAAAGAUUACACAAGUUGCUUAAAAUAGUCUCCCUGACAACAUUAAUUUGGAGCUAUAUGCUAUUUGUGAAUCUUACCUCAUGAGAGACAUGGUUAUGAAUCUCUUUAACAUAAAAGGAUAAUGGGGAACUGAAUUUUAGGUGAUAAUCCAUUAUAGAAUUUAUGGAUCCAUGUUGUUAUAGCUAAAAAUGGUUUCUUUUACUUUGUUAGCUUUACAUAUGAUUUUUGUAGGUUUUGGGCUUUC